rnacentral:lncRNA from 1 species
AAAUACCUUUAUGUAACACUGAGAGGUGGUUAUACACGGGUCCUGGAUGCUUCUUUCUUUCUUUUUUUUUCCCCUUAAUUUGGCUGAUUCGACUACACACAGGUAAAGAAAUCUGUGACUCCAUGAAAGUCUGUAGGUGGAAGCACAGAGAGAGGUUUUGCAAUUUAAGAUCACCUGUGGAAGCUCCCCGUGCCAGAUAAAUCUCCUCAAGGUUUCCAUUACAAAGCAGAGCUUUGCUCUGUGGGGCUGUUGGUGAUGUAUUUCCUACAUGAACUGGACUGAGAUUAGAUUUAAGCAUCCUAAAACCUUUCCCACCCUCCAGAGGAGGGAUGUAUUUAUGAGAGCAUUGCAUUUCAAGUCCAGGAGUCCCUCUCUGCUCAAUCUCUGCCUCGUUUUCUAGAAUCACAAGCAGCUGAUUAAAAGGGUUUUACCAGUGAAUGGCUUUCGUUCUCGGUUAAAUCUGAUCAUCCAUCAUACUUACGAGCAGAAGAGGCGUUGCACACAUGGCUGAAUCCAAGCAACCGCAAAACUGCCUGGAAAUCCCCGGCAAAACGUCAGCAAAGCCCUUUGCUCGAGGUUUGCUCCGAGACGGCAGCAGAGGGUGCUGCCUCCCCAGGGCAGGCAGAGGAGCUCUGCAAAGCUCAGGGCUCCUUCUGGGAGCAGCCUCCCUUCUCUUUCAUCUGUCCACCUGUGACAGCUGCUCCAUCAGCACAACCCAGGCCCACAGCUUUCCCUAUUCUCAGCUGAACGAUGACAUUUCCAAGCAGCAAUCCCCGGAGCCAGCCCCAUCCGUGCUGCUGUCCCUUGUCCCACGCAGCACGGAGCGGGUGACCGAGGCAGGAUGUGACCCAUAGAUGGCACUGGCCUUCCACCACCGCUGUCCUGGGGCACCGCAUCUGCCGGACCUGCAGCAUUGGGUUUGCCAUUCACCAUUGCCCCGGAGAGGAACGUAUGGAUGCGUUCAAGGAUGCACACAGCGAUGCGGGGAGAGAAGGAAGCAUCCCACCAUGCUCCUGCAGCUGAGCCUCAGCCAGAACUGUGCAACCUUCGUUACAAAACACGAAACUGGGCUGAACUUCCCCGGUUUCAUGUUUCACAUCAUGCUUUGGGAUCCAGCCAGGCACCUCGAGCCGGGACUGGGGGAUUUUGGAGGGGUGACUUCCAGCAGCUCUGGCAGCAUUGGCGGAGUCCUGCAGGUUUUCGUGUUCCCCUUACAACUCCCAUUUCUGGACAUCAGCCUCUUGGAUGUGCGCCUUCUCUAGAACAACACCAAGCCAACGAGAUGUGAGCUGUCCUAGAGCUGCAUAAGCUCUCAAAAUCCAGAUUCGAGUGUGCAUUCUGUUGAAGAAAAAAAAGGGGUCUCUCAGUAAUUAAUUUUAUGUUAGCAGUUAAUUCUAUAGAAACAUCCAGCAUUGGUUUGACAUUUUGCCUGGUAGGCGGAUGGCAUCAGG